rnacentral:tRNA from 1 species
UGCAUCGGCCGGGAAAUCGAACCCGGGGCGCCCUCGGCUUCUACCACUGAACCACCGAUGA